CGGGGGGGGGAAUGAGGUCCGCAGGGAAUGGCGGGCCGAUGACGUGAACCCCGGAAUAAGCCCCGGCUAACUACGUGCCAGCAGCCGCGGUAACACGUAGGGGGCGAGCGUUGUUCGGAAUCAUUGGGCGUAAAGGGCGCGCAGGCGGCGAGGCAAGUCCGGUGUGAAAGUGCUCGGCUCAACCGAGUGAUGCGCUGGAAACUGCCCUGCUUGAGUACAGGAGGGGACGUCGGAAUUCCAGGUGUAGGGGUGAAAUCUGUAGAUAUCUGGAAGAACACCGGUGGCGAAGGCGGACGUCUGGCCAUGUACUGACGCUGAGGCGCGAAGGUGCGGGGAGCGAACAGGUUUAAAUACCCUGGUAGUCCGCACAGUAAACGAUGUGCACCAGGUGGCGGGGGGUAGCCCUCGGUACCGAAGCCAACGCAUUAAGUGCACCGCCUGGGGAGUAUGCUCGCAAGGGUGAAACUCAAG
rnacentral:rRNA from 1 species